rnacentral:rRNA from 1 species
CAGUCGCCGCGGGAAUACGAAGGUCCCGAGCGUUGUUCGGAAUCACUGGGCGUAAAGGGAGCGUAGGCGGCGUGGUAAGUCAGAUGUGAAAUCCCGGGGCUCAACCUCGGAACUGCAUCCGAUACUGCCGUGCUAGAGGAUUGGAGAGGUAGCUGGAAUUCUUGGUGUAGCAGUGAAAUGCGUGGAGAUCAAGAGGAACACUCGUGGCGAAAGCGAGCUACUGGACAAUAUCUGACGCUGAGGCUCGAAGGCCAGGGUAGCGAAAGGGAUUAGAUACCCCCGUAGUCCCUGUCUCUUAUAC